rnacentral:rRNA from 1 species
UGGGGAAUCUUGCACAAUGGGGGAAACCCUGAUGCAGCGACGCCGCGUGAGCGAUGAAGGUUUUCGAAUCGUAAAGCUCUGUCCUAUGGGAAGAUAAUGACGGUACCAUAGGAGGAAGCCCCGGCUAACUACGUGCCAGCAGCCGCGGUAAUACGUAGGGGGCGAGCGUUGUCCGGAAUUACUGGGCGUAAAGGGUUCGCAGGCGGCAUGACAAGUCCGAUGUAAAAGGCGAAAGCUCAACUUUCGUAAGCAUCGGAAACUGUCAAGCGUGAGUGAGGAGAGGCAAGUGGAAUUCCUAGUGUAGCGGUGGAAUGCGUAGAUAUUAGGAGGAAUACCGGUGGCGAAGGCGACUUGCUGGACUUCAACUGACGCUGAGGAACGAAAGCGUGGGUAGCAAACAGG